CCCUUUGAUGUUCUGGGCAGCACGCGCGCUACAAUGGUCUUCGCAAACGGAUGCAUUCUCGAAGGAGAAUGCCAAUCUUGGAAUCUAUGCCUUGGUCGGGACAGUUGCUUGCAAUUUUUCGACUCGAACCAGGAAUUCCUUGUAAUCGUGAUUCAUCACAUCACGAUGAAUACGUCCCUGCCCUUUGUACACACCGCCCGUCGCUCCUACCGAUCGAAGAGUUAGGUGAAUUGUUUUGAUCGAUAAGAUUUGACUAUGGUCAACUCUCGUUGUGAAAUUCUGUGAAUCUGACUGUUUAGAGGAAGGAAAAGUCGUAACA
rnacentral:rRNA from 1 species